rnacentral:snoRNA from 8 species
GGGAUCUAUGAUGAAAAAGUGUUUAUGAACAAAGGGUCGUGAUUAAUCCAGUUCUGCACAAAGUACUAAGGUCCAUU